rnacentral:rRNA from 1 species
AUUGAACGCUGGCGGCAUGCCUUACACAUGCAAGUCGAACGGCAGCACGGAGCUUGCUCUGGUGGCGAGUGGCGAACGGGUGAGUAAUAUAUCGGAACGUACCCUGGAGUGGGGGAUAACGUAGCGAAAGUUACGCUAAUACCGCAUACGAUCUAAGGAUGAAAGUGGGGGAUCGCAAGACCUCAUGCUCGUGGAGCGGCCGAUAUCUGAUUAGCUAGUUGGUAGGGUAAAAGCCUACCAAGGCAUCGAUCAGUAGCUGGUCUGAGAGGACGACCAGCCACACUGGAACUGAGACACGGUCCAGACUCCUACGGGAGGCAGCAGUGGGGAAUUUUGGACAAUGGGCGAAAGCCUGAUCCAGCAAUGCCGCGUGAGUGAAGAAGGCCUUCGGGUUGUAAAGCUCUUUUGUCAGGGAAGAAACGGUGAGAGCUAAUAUCUCUUGCUAAUGACGGUACCUGAAGAAUAAGCACCGGCUAACUACGUGCCAGCAGCCGCGGUAAUACGUAGGGUGCAAGCGUUAAUCGGAAUUACUGGGCGUAAAGCGUGCGCAGGCGGUUUUGUAAGUCUGAUGUGAAAUCCCCGGGCUCAACCUGGGAAUUGCAUUGGAGACUGCAAGGCUAGAAUCUGGCAGAGGGGGGUAGAAUUCCACGUGUAGCAGUGAAAUGCGUAGAUAUGUGGAGGAACACCGAUGGCGAAGGCAGCCCCCUGGGUCAAGAUUGACGCUCAUGCACGAAAGCGUGGGGAGCAAACAGGAUUAGAUACCCUGGUAGUCCACGCCCUAAACGAUGUCUACUAGUUGUCGGGUCUUAAUUGACUUGGUAACGCAGCUAACGCGUGAAGUAGACCGCCUGGGGAGUACGGUCGCAAGAUUAAAACUCAAAGGAAUUGACGGGGACCCGCACAAGCGGUGGAUGACGUGGAUUAAUUCGAUGCAACGCGAAAAACCUUACCUACCCUUGACAUGGCUGGAAUCCCCGAGAGAUUGGGGAGUGCUCGAAAGAGAACCAGUACACAGGUGCUGCAUGGCUGUCGUCAGCUCGUGUCGUGAGAUGUUGGGUCAAGUCCCGCAACGAGCGCAACCCUUGUCAUUAGUUGCUACGAAAGGGCACUCUAAUGAGACUGCCGGUGACAAACCGGAGGAAGGUGGGGAUGACGUCAAGUCCUCAUGGCCCUUAUGGGUAGGGCUUCACACGUCAUACAAUGGUACAUACAGAGCGCCGCCAACCCGCGAGGGGGAGCUAAUCGCAGAAAGUGUAUCGUAGUCCGGAUUGUAGUCUGCAACUCGACUGCAUGAAGUUGGAAUCGCUAGUAAUCGCGGAUCAGCAUGUCGCGGUGAAUACGUUCCCGGGUCU